AUUGAACGCUGGCGGCAGGCCUAACACAUGCAAGUCGAGCGAGCGGCGGACGGGUCAGUCAUGCAUGGGAAUCGCCCAGUCUAGGGUGAUAACAGUUGCAAACUACUGCUAAUAGCGCAUACGCUCAGAUUGCCCAGGUGGGAUUGGCUGGUUGGGGGGGUAAUGGCUCACCAAGGCGACGAUCCCUAGCUGGUCUGAGAGGAUGAUCAGCCACACUGGAACUGAGACACGGUCCAGACUCCUACGGGAGGCAGCAGUGGGGAAUAUUGCACAAUGGGGGAAACCCUGAUGCAGCCAGGCCGCGUGUGUGAAGAAGGCCUUCGGGUUGUAAAGCACUUUAAGUGGGGAGGCGUUACUCGAAGAAGAAGCACCGGCUAACUCCGUGCCAGCAGCCGCGGUAAUAC
rnacentral:rRNA from 1 species